CCUACGGGGGGCUGCAGUAAGGAAUAUUGGACAAUGGUCGGAAGACUGAUCCAGCCAUGCCGCGUGAAGGAAGAAGGCGCUCAGCGUUGUAAACUUCUUUUGGACGGGAAUAAUAACCUCCACGAGUUGGGGGCUUGAAGGUACCGUCAGAAUAAGCACCGGCUAACUCCGUGCCAGCAGCCGCGGUAAUACGGAGGGUGCAAGCGUUAUCCGGAAUCACUGGGUUUAAAGGGUGCGUAGGCGGCCCGAUAAGUCAGUUGUGAAAUAUCCUCGCUUAACGAGGGGACUGCGAUUGAUACUGUCAGGCUUGAAUUGGGUUGAGGCAGGCGGAAUGUGGCAUGUAGCGGUGAAAUGCAUAGAUAUGCCAUAGAACACCGAUUGCGAAGGCAGCCUGCUGGGCCUUGAUUGACGCUGAGGCACGAAAGCGUGGGGAGCAAACAGGAUUAGAUACCCGUGUAGUC
rnacentral:rRNA from 1 species